GUGGCCUAAUGGAUAAGGCAUCAGCCUCUGGAGCUGGAGAUUGUGGGUUCGAGUUAGCCUGGCAAGCCAGACCCACAUCA